rnacentral:rRNA from 1 species
UACAGAGGUCCCAAGCGUUGUUCGGAUUCACUGGGCGUAAAGGGUGCGUAGGUGGCGCGCUAAGUCAGGUGUGAAAUUUCGGAGCUUAACUCCGAAACUGCAUUUGAUACUGGCGUGCUUGAGGACUGGAGAGGAGACUGGAAUUCACGGUGUAGCAGUGAAAUGCGUAGAUAUCGUGAGGAAGACCAGUGGCGAAGGCGGGUCUCUGGACAGUUCCUGACACUGAGGCACGAAGGCCAGGGGAGCAAACGGG